rnacentral:lncRNA from 1 species
AGCGCUUUGUCUCCCUAAGUGGCUAACUGAGGUGUGAAAGGGUCUGUGGUGAGUGGACAAAGGAGCACAAAGGGCAAAAGAUGAGGAAAUGGAGGCUUCAAGGUCAAACCCCUUGCCCAGAGACAUGCAGCAGAAAGUGAUGAAGCUGAGAUUUGAACUUGCACCUGUCUGCCUGCAAAUCCCAUCUCUUCCUGCUGUGCCAGAGACAGCAGAAGGGCCCACGGCUGUGUAGAUGUGGCCUAUUAGCCUCUCAAGUCUAGAGCAAGCCCCUCAGUGUGGGGCCCCUCCCUAGCCGCACUUCCUGCCACACCUGUCCUUCAAGCAGCCGCCUUUCUUUAGAACCCCACGUCUACUGUGGUGAUCACUCUGCAUAGCUGCUUUAGAAACAUAUGAAGAUAACAGAAGGAUCUCAUCUGCAACCCAGAGCUCUCUGUGCCUGGUGGUGACUCCCAAGAAGCUCCCAUAAGGAAGAGGUCCCUCAAAGAACACACUGAACACAGUGGACCCUCUGCUGCCAAAACAGGCAGGGAAGCAUCUCCUGGAGCCUGCUUGACAAAUACAAAGAAAAAUGAAGAAAAAAUUAGGACAAUGUCCCAGGAGCCUCAAGUAAAAACUAGGAAGCAGCUGGUGGUGGAGGAAAAGCCACGCCAGGGAGAUAGAAAUGGAGUCUCCAGGCCGGCUGAGGCGUGUGUUUAAUGGAGGCCGGCUGUGCAGGUAGAGGACGGAAGUGUCGGGAGCCCUCCCUGCAGAAGAGGUGUGUCGACCCCACAGCUGCCAACGUGUCCCAGAAUGAGGCCCCUCGUGAGUCUGCAAGGGCUGGAAAGCAAGCC